GAUGAACGCUAGCGGCAGGCUUAACUCAUGCAAGUCGAGGGGUAGAAGUCUUCGGACUUUGAGACCGGCGCACGGGUGCGUAACGCGUAUGUAAUCUGCCUUGUACAAAGGGAUAGCCCAGAGAAAUUUGGAUUAAUACCUUAUAGUAUAUAGAUGUGGCAUCACAAUUAUAUUAAAGAUUUAUCGGUACAAGAUGAGCAUGCGUCCCAUUAGCUAGUUGGUAUGGUAACGGCAUACCAAGGCAAUGAUGGGUAGGGGUCCUGAGAGGGAGAUCCCCCACACUGGUACUGAGACACGGACCAGACUCCUACGGGAGGCAGCAGUGAGGAAUAUUGGUCAAUGGGCGCAAGCCUGAACCAGCCAUGCCGCGUGCAGGAUGAAGCAUCUGUGGUGUGUAAACUGCUUUUGUACGGGAAGAAACACCUCUUCGUGAAGAGGCUUGACGGUACCGUAAGAAUAAGGAUCGGCUAACUCCGUGCCAGCCGCCGCGGUAA
rnacentral:rRNA from 1 species